ACACCAAAAAUAGUAAAUAAACUCCUCUUUUAGAUUUGUCAAGUAGAUUCGAAAUAAGGUGGCAGUGGCAGACAGCUGGUAGUGGCGGGCCCAGGUGCGGCGGCUAGGGUUUUUGUUUCCUUUUUUGGCUGAGAAUUGUUUAGGUGUUGGGGCUUUAGCUUUUUUUUUGGGUUUGGUUUGAUUAUUUUUUUUUAUUAUUUGGUAGGCCCGGGCAAAUUUUGGGCCUUACAGAGAUCUUUAUCUUAAUUCUUAUUUUUAAAACAAUCAAA